AGGGGAGGGACUUCCUGCGGCUGUUCGAGGGCGUGGGGGCAGACCGGCAACUCAUUGCUGACCUCUCAGGCUCCACCCCUCCAGGAAGAGUGUGGCUCCUGAGCGACCAAACAACAGUGGAGUUUGUGUCAGAUGACCUGGGCGAGAGGCGGGGCUUCAGGGCCACAUUCAACACUGAAAAUUUAAUUUAACCGACAUCAGCAACGAGCAGAGGCUGAGCUGUUCCUUUGAGGACGGGUGGUGCUUCUGGAGACAAGACCCAGACCAGGACCAGGACUGGAUCAGGACAAGAGGAAACUCCUUUCCCCCUGGGACUGGACCCAGCGUGGAC